GAGCUGCGGGUUCGAGCCCCGUCAGUCCCG
rnacentral:tRNA from 1 species